rnacentral:rRNA from 1 species
UGGGGAAUAUUGCACAAUGGGCGAAAGCCUGAUGCAGCAACGCCGCGUGAGUGAUGAAGGCCUUCGGGUUGUAAAGCUCUGUCUUCUGGGACGAUAAUGACGGUACCAGAGGAGGAAGCCACGGCUAACUACGUGCCAGCAGCCGCGGUAAUACGUAGGUGGCAAGCGUUAUCCGGAUUUACUGGGCGUAAAGGAUGCGUAGGCGGAUACUUAAGUCAGAUGUGAAAAUCCCGGGCUUAACUUGGGAACUGCAUUUGAAACUGGGUAUCUAGAGUGCGGGAGAGGAAAGUGGAAUUCCUAGUGUAGCGGUGAAAUGCGUAGAGAUUAGGAAGAACACCAGAGGCGAAGGCGACUUUCUGGACCGUAACUGACGCUGAGGCAUGAAAGCGUGGGGAGCAAACA